GGAGUAGUACUCAAGUGGUUAAAGAGGCGUCCCUGCUAAGGACGUAGUCCGAAAAAAAUCGGUGCAAGGGUUCAAAUCCCUUCUACUCCGCCA
rnacentral:tRNA from 2 species